AGAAAAUACAAGCCGUGUGUCAGCCCCCGUGAUGGUGUUGCUGGGAAGCAGACUGCGGGCAAGGUGUUUAACGAUGCUGGUCCUGCUAAGGCACACGGGAAGACUACCAUUCUGUGCAGCAGCAUUUAACUAUGGUGAGGCCUCCAGCACUUGCAUCCUCUGCUGAGCUGACCGCGGAGGGGCGGCCUCUCAGCCUGCUGUCCUGAGUCACGGCCUGGAGGGCGGAUGUUCUGGAGAGAUGCCUGGACCUGGAGUAGAAUUUGCUUGAAUGAAAAAUAAACCAUUGUCUUGUUAAGACA
rnacentral:lncRNA from 1 species